GAAGGCAGCAAGGAUGUGCAAAAAGUGAAGAGUGAAACAAAGGAUCAUGCACUCAGAAAACACUGACCAAAUCCCAAAGACAACUCUGGAGUGGUGAGGAAACUGAGGCAGGGAAUGGCUUACUGUGUUUAUUGUUUUUCCUAGCAUCAAGCCUAGUACUGAUCCCUGCAGAACCCCACUGGAAACACUCCUAUUCAAUGGUGAUUCCCCAUUCACAGCUACUUUUUGAGGUCCAGCAGAUAUACAGUAUCCAUAAACAACACGUUAUUUGGAUUAAGAACUGGCUAAAGAGGACCCCUGCCACAUUGAGUGCACAGGAUGGAUGGUGCUCUGGGAAUGAGUCAGAGUUGUGCAGUGAAUAAGGCUGCUGUUUGAAGAAUUUCCAACAAAAAAGGUUACCUUAAACCACUAAUUUCACUGAACUGAUGUUUCAACACAACAUGCUGCACAGGACAUGAAAGCUGCCAAGAAUACAUCUGCACUAAAGCCUUUAUUCUGCAUUGAAAUAUUUAUAUUUUUUGCUCUAAUAAGGUUCCAGCUAAAUAAAACUGUAAUAAAUUUCAAAAUUCCUUAUAAACUUCCUCCAUAUUUAGGCCCCAUAUUUAGAGUAGUGGAAGGAACAAAAACAAAGGUGAUAACUGUGAGGAGAACUACCACCUGAAGAAUCCAGGAAGAUCCAGAGAUUUUUUAUGAAAAAUGAAAGUAGUAGGUUAUUUAGUGCUAGUGUAACCCACAUGCUUUAUGCUGCAGCAUUUGGUUUAAAA